AACGAACGCUGGCGGCAUGCCUAACACAUGCAAGUCGAACGAAACCUUCGGGUCUAGUGGCGCACGGGUGCGUAACGCGUGGGAACCUGCCCUUAGGUUCGGCAUAACUCCCCGAAAGGGGUGCUAAUACCGGAUCAUGUCUUCGGACCAAAGAUUUAUCGCCUUUGGAUGGGCCCGCGUUGGAUUAGCUAGUUGGUAGGGUAAUAGCCUACCAAGGCGACGAUCCAUAGCUGGUCUGAGAGGAUGAUCAGCAACACUGGGACUGAGACACGGCCCAGACUCCUACGGGAGGGAGCAGUGGGGAAUAUUGGAAAACGGGCGAAAGCAUGAUCCAGCAAGGCCGGGUGAGUGAUGAAGGCCGUAGGGUUGUAAAGCUCUUUUAACCGGGAUGAUAAUGACAGUACCGGGAGAAUAAGCGCCGGCUAACUCCGUG
rnacentral:rRNA from 1 species